CCAUGCGUGUGCUGAAGCCUUCCUCCCUCCCCUAUGUGACAACAUGUCAAAAGUGGGAACAGUUAAAGCUUGAAUGAAGGACCUUAACAUAAAGAACUAAGGAUUAGGGCAUUUACCAGACGAGAUCCCAGAGGGCUUGCUGUCACCUUACCAUGUGAGGUCAAGAGGGUAGAAGGCAGCCAUGUGCAAUUCAGGCACCAUGCCCUCUAAGGGUGGUUCAGAAACCACCCCUGCUAAGCCUUGAUCUGGGACUUGAAGACUCCAGCACUGUAAGAAGGCACAUGUUAUUUUGCUUAAGGAGCAUGAACAUCAGGAAGUGAGGGACUCAGCCUUCAUGGGAGAAUCAGCAGUCUCAGCAGACUCAUCCUGUGGCUUCUCGCUUUGGUCUAUGCUACAAGACUGGUAGAAUCCCUACCAGACAGAGGCCCAGUGGCCAGCCCAGCCCAGCCCAGCCCAGCCCUGCGCCGAGCAGCGACUCAAACAUCUGAAGUUCCAUUGAAGGAAUGAGGAACUGAGGUGCAGGAAGCAAGUACAACACCUUGUCUGAGGGUAACAGAUCGAGGGAGAGGUAGAGUCCAUCCACCAGGUAAGAGUGGGCCGGAAGUCUGUGGUCAGGAAGGCUCCUCUAAGAAGGAAUCACAUGCAGUAACCAACCGGAAGGAGUGCUCCAGGCAAGAGCUAUGAGUGCUCUUCUGGGAAGUGGUGAACAUGAGGGAAGACCCCUAAGGAGAAAGCCAGGAGCCGGAUUUGGAAUAAUUAAAGAAAUCUUUUUUGUUGUUGUUUUGUUUUUUGUUUCCCAAGCCAGGGUUUUUCUGUGUAGCUCUGGAACUCACUCUGUAGACCAGGCUGGCCUCAAACUCACUGAGAUCUGCCUACCUCUGCCUCCUGAGUGCUGGGAUUAAAGGCAUGCGCCACCAACGCCCGGCUCAUGUAAUUCUGAUGGUUGGAAGAUUACCCCAAGUUCAGUGUGUGCCUUUCUGUCUCUCCCUUAUUCCCUCCCUCUCUC
rnacentral:lncRNA from 1 species